CAGCAGCCGCCGCGGGAACACGUAGGGUGCAAGCGUUAAUCGGAAUUACUGGGCGUAAAGCGUGCGCAGGCGGUUAUAUAAGACAGAUGUGAAAUCCCCGGGCUCAACCUGGGAACUGCAUUUGUGACUGUAUAGCUAGAGUACGGCAGAGGGGGAUGGAAUUCCGCGUGUAGCAGUGAAAUGCGUAGAUAUGCGGAGGAACACCGAUGGCGAAGGCAAUCCCCUGGGCCUGUACUGACGCUCAUGCACGAAAGCGUGGGGAGCAAACAGGAUUAGAUACCCGUGUAGUCCCUGUCUCUUAUAC
rnacentral:rRNA from 1 species